AGGACAUCCAUAUACCUGGCGAUGAAUUUUUCUUCUUGGAAAUUUGAAGUGUUCGUAUUUCCUGAAUUCGGAGAGAGGGUUAAAAGCAAAUGGGAACAAUGGUGUCUAUAAAUCAGGCCUACAGAUGAGAAAGGAUGAUGAUGCAUCUUAGUUCAGAGGAGAUACUCAAGCUUAGUUUGCCUUUCACAUUAAGUGUUGGGGAUCUGCUGUGCUGUCAGUUGUGGGGGUAUAAUUGAUCGUUCCCACAUGCCUUGUAAACCUUGGGCCAUUGUCUUUCUGGGCCAGGCUUCAGAUAAUGGCCAUACAUCAAGUUUUGCUACUACCUAGCCCUGAGAGAGAGCAUGAACACAUAACCAGCUGAAAUGGGCUGAAAGUGCCAUUGCGACUGAACGGAGGAUAUGUGAGGCAUCUUUAUCUAAU